rnacentral:rRNA from 1 species
CUCCUACGGGGCGCAGCAGUGAGGAAUAUUGGUCAAUGGGCGAGAGCCUGAACCAGCCAAGUCGCGUGAAGGAUGACGGCCCUACGGGUUGUAAACUUCUUUUGUCAGGGAGCAAUUGAGUCCACGUGUGGGCUUAGCGAGAGUACCUGAAGAAAAAGCAUCGGCUAACUCCGUGCCAGCAGCCGCGGUAAUACGGAGGAUGCGAGCGUUAUCCGGAUUUAUUGGGUUUAAAGGGUGCGUAGGCGGGCUUUUAAGUCAGCGGUAAAAAUUCGGGGCUCAACCCCGUCCGGCCGUUGAAACUGGGG